AACGAACGCUGGCGGCAGGCCUAACACAUGCAAGUCGAGCGAGGACUUCGGUUCUAGCGGCGGACGGGUGAGUAACGCGUGGGAAUGUGCCCUUCUCUACGGAAUAGCCCUGGGAAACUGGGAGUAAUACCGUAUACGCCCUAUUGGGGAAAGAUUUAUCGGAGAAGGAUCAGCCCGCGUUGGAUUAGGUAGUUGGUUGGGUAAUGGCCUACCAAGCCGACGAUCCAUAGCUGGUUUGAGAGGAUGAUCAGCCACACUGGGGCUGAGACACGGCCCAGACUCCUACGGGAGGCAGCAGUGGGGAAUCUUAGACAAUGGGGGCAACCCUGAUCUAGCCAUGCCGCGUGAGUGAUGAAGGCCUUAGGGUUGUAAAGCUCUUUCAGCUGGGAAGAUAAUGACGGUACCAGCAGAAGAAGCCCCGGCUAACUCCGUG
rnacentral:rRNA from 1 species